GAGUUUGAUCAUGGCUCAGAUUGAACGCUGGCGGCAUGCCUAACACAUGCAAGUCGAACGGCAGCGCGGGGGCAACCCCUGGCGGCGAGUGGCGGACGGGUGAGGAAUGCAUCGGAAUCUGCCCGGUUGUGGGGGAUAACUCACCGAAAGGUGAGCUAAUACCGCAUAAGACCGAGAGGUGAAAGCGGGGGACCGAAAGGCCUCGCGCGAUCGGAUGAGCCGAUGCCGGAUUAGCUAGUUGGUAGGGUAAAGGCCUACCAAGGCGACGAUCCGUAGCUGGUCUGAGAGGAUGAUCAGCCACACUGGGACUGAGACACUGCCCAGACUCCUACGGGAGGCUGCAGUCGAGAAUCUUUCGCAAUGGGGGAAACCCUGACGAAGCGACGCCGCGUGCAGGAUGAAGGCC
rnacentral:rRNA from 1 species